rnacentral:rRNA from 1 species
GGACUGAGACCGGCCCAGACUCCUACGGGAGGCAGCAGUGGGGAAUAUUGCACAAUGGGCGAAAGCCUGAUGCAGCGACGCCGCGUGAGGGAUGACGGCCUUCGGGUUGUAAACCUCUUUUAUCCAGGACGAAGCCGAAGUGACGGUACCUGUAGAAGAAGCGCCGGCCUAAUACGUGCCAGCAGCCGCGGUAAUACGUAGGGUGCGAGCGUUGUCCGGAAUUAUUGGGCGUAAAAUGCUCCGUAGCGGCUUGUCACGUCGGCCGUUAAAACCUGGGGGUUAAGCCCGGGGCUUGC